CCUACGGGAGGCUGCAGUGAGGAAUAUUGGUCAAUGGACGCACGUCUGAACCAGCCAUGCCGCGUGCAGGAAGACGGCUCUAUGAGUUGGAAACUGCUUUUGUACGAAGGUAAACGCAGAUACGCGUAUCUGUCUGAAAGUAUCGUAUGAAUAAGAAUCGUCUAACUCCGUGCCGGCAGCCGCGGUAAUACGGAGGGUUCAAGCGUUAUCCGGAGUUAUUGGGUUUAAGGGUUGCGUAGGCGGACGGAUAAGUUAGAGGUAAAAUCCCGAGGCUUAACUUUGGAAGUGCCUCUGAUAACGUGCGGCUAGAGGGUAGUUGCGGUAGGCGGAAUUUCUGGUGGAGCGGGGAAAUGCUUAGAGAUCA
rnacentral:rRNA from 1 species